AAAACACUGUUUGUCAAGGGUCUGUCUG
rnacentral:piRNA from 1 species